rnacentral:misc_RNA from 1 species
AGGAGUAUAAUUCCAUUGGACAAUACUCCUAUAGCAAUGUUUUUGUAUGGGGCAUGAUGAGGAACAUGGGCUUCUUCCCCGGAAUGGGCUUGGGUAAGAAUCUGAAAGGCUUGCCUGCUUUCCCUAAAUUCCCUGAUUAUGAGAAGUCGUUUGGGCUGGGAUAUAAACAGAAAAAGGAGGCCUUGCAUUCAAAGUCCUUGAUUGCUCAAAGACAAGCUGCUGCCAAAGCCGCGGGGAGACCAUAUGAUGCUAUACCUAUGGAGUCAUAUAGGC